GGGAAAUGUAGUCCAGAAACAUCUGAUGGUGUCAAGGUUAGCCAUCACUGAAUUAGGGCAAUGGAUGAUGCUGCGAGAUUGCAGUGCACUAUCCUCUACAUGCCAGUGGACAUAGUCACCCUGAUCCCCUUGACAAAGUCUCCCUGGGUUCUACUGUAUGUUAUCGUUAAUUUGAGCCAUGAGUCAUAUAUUCAGUAACAUAGAAUGUAUCAAGGUGUGUGCAUGUGUCACUGAGUUAAUAGUGUGUGUAAAUAGUUGCAAUAUGUUGUUAAUUAGUUGUAUUCCAUCAUAAUAAAAUGUCACGUCCUUGUUCAUACAUGUUUGGUGGCUGUUUGUGUGUGUGUGGUGGGGGUGAAGGGGUUCCGUGGCUGGUGAAGUCACCUAGCUCAAAUUUAUUUUACACGUUGUGAUGUCUGGCUUUAGUAGUGGCUAGAAUUAAAUCAAUCUAAUUGAAGGAAGCAGAGUGGUCAACUACUGACAUGUAGACAGGUAUAACCAUAGCCAAGUCCUGGUCAGGAUUAUGGAGGUCAAAACAAAUCUUAAAAACAAGUCGUUGGUCAAUACAGUCAGCAGACCGAACAUACCUUGGUCAGAGUAAAUGAAUGAAAAGUGACACAAUGGGGGGAGAAUUAUCAAAGUAACACUUAAACUGUUCCACCUAAAAUUUCUCAGAAAAGCCCCACCCUGGCUGCACCCCUAAUAUUACAAUGUCCCUCUUUGUUCAUUUGAAACAUUGGGGAGAAUGGAUAUAUACCGGUGAAACAUAAACUACCAGCUUGACCAUAUAUAUUGGCAAGAAAUUUCACAAUUUAAUAUUAAACUGUUGGACUAACGUAGUACUCCAACAAACCAGCUUCUUUCUAAUUCUUAGCCCACAUAAAGCAAG